AACCAAGUGAGCCAUGGCGCUGGCUCCCAGAUGAGUCUUGAUGGUGUAACCAUUGUAGUAGCUGUGGAAGUGGUAGAAAUGGUUGCAUUCUGGCUCAUAAUUUUGUAUAGGUCUGCUCUGAUUUUCUACUUUUGCGAAUGAGAGAGAAAAAGGGGAUGACUGAAAGAUUUUUGCAUUCAUUAGUUGGAGUAUAGAAGCUCCAUCUCCUGGGAUGAGAAAGUAACUAAUAGGAAUAAUUUUCACUGGGAACAUCAUAAGUUUAUUUUGGGCAUAUUAAAGAUAUGAGGUAUUUGAGGAUGAGUAGAGGUAUCAAGGGUGGAGGGAUAGACACAUCAAUCUGCAAUUUAGGUGUGGGGUUCAGGACUGAGACAUCUUCUAAGAGCAGCUGAUAGUGCAUGGGCCAGUAUGGAGCUGUUGGUCUUAGUUCAGACGGUUAACAAUAACAUAUAUACUGUUGGUUUAAACAACAAAAAUGUGUUUCUCACAGUUUGGAAGCUGGGAAGCCCAAGACCAAGGUGUCAGAGUUUUGGUUUGUGUGGGGCCUUGUCCAUGCUGUGAUCGUUAGAGACCCUGUCCUCAGACUGCUGGCUCCCGAGUCCAAGAAGCAUUCCCAUGAGCAGUCUUCGGUGUUGGCCACAUUUUUGGUGGUACGUCUCCCUGCCACCAAAACCUGCCUCUCCUUCAUCAACAGAAUCUGCAGAGGGAGCAUCACAGACAAUUACUUCUAAGGAUCAGAGCUGUCUUGAAACACUCACUGUGCCCUUUAACCACCUUGUGGCUGCCCAUGAGGUGAGAAAUUAGAAAAUUUCAUAUGAUUCUUUAUCAAACACAUGAGAUAACAAGGUUAUAACAUCUGAAAUAUUUGCAAUAAACUCUGAAAUUCUAACUACAGAAUUACCUUUCAAAGUAACUCAAACAUCAGAUCUACUCAUUGCCAUGUUCCAUAUCAAACUAAUGUCAUGGAUGGUCAUGCUACUGAAACAGGAGGAUUCAGGGUUGGACAUGGGGUUUCUUACCAUCAGCUCCUCUUGAGGAGUUUGGAUCAGACCUUAACAAGCAUCCCUCUUCUUUGAGUGGACUCUCAUGUCUACGCUCCAGCACCAGUGCCACCUCUGUCAAGGCUCAGAAUGUUUCCAGGGAUUCCCUUUACAGCCCCAAUACAGAGCCAUUUUCUUCAGAGCCUCUCUCCAGGAUGGAGAUGUAGUCUCCUAAAGUGUUGCUUUUUCAAGGAGGUUGGAGCAAUGAUGACACUCAGAGGAUGGGAGUGGGGCAGGAGGAAGACAGCAAAACCCAGAAGAGGUCAUUUAAAAUUCUCUCACCUUGCUUCCCUCUAGAGCAUGAUUAGGCUACCACCUGUUUCAAUAAUGAGAGUGACUGCUUGGGGAAUUGAGGGUAACUCUAAGAAACUUUUGUCUCUUCUACCAAUUGCCAAAAACAAUUACCAGCGAUUACUGGCUGUCUCUCAAGGAUCAGAAAGAAAGAGUAGUGAUGGAAACUUUGCUGUGUUCCACUGAAACUGAAAAUCUCUUCUUUUUGGGAGGACAGCCACUAUUGCUUUCCCUCAGCCCAAACACCCUUCUGAGUGUUCUGACUCUUGGUUCAUCAAAUCUCUGAACAGAUAAUCAAAAGUUGGGGCUGACUCUAUGACGCAGGCGUUUAAAUCCAUGGUUUAAGUGCUGGCAUCCCAUAUGGGAGCCGGUUUGAAUCCCAGCUGCUUCACUUCUGAUCCAGCUGUCUGCUGUGGCCUGGGAAAGCAGUAGAAGAUGGCCCAAGUCCUUGGGCCCCUGCACCCACAAGGGAGACCCGGAUGAAGCUCCUGGCUCCUGAUUUCAGAUUGGCACAGCUCUGGCCAUUGCAGCCAAUUUGGGUGUGAACCAGUGAAAGGAACCUCCGUCCCCCCGCCUCUCCUCUCUCCUUGUACUCUUUCAAAGAAAUAAAUCUUAAAAAAAAAGGUUACCAGCAUGUUACAGCUCCUCAACACCUUUCAGUCUCUUUUUACAAAUGGCAUUGCUCCUCUUUCUUUUUUUUUGACAUAAAGAUUUACACAGUGAGAAGGAGAGAGACAGAGAGAAAGGUCUUCCUUCUCUUGGUUCACCCCCGCAAAUGGCUGCUACAGCCUGAGCUACGCUGAUCUGAAGCCAAGAGCCAGGUGCUUCCCCUGGUCUCCCAUGUGGGUGCAGGCACCUAAGCACUUGCACCAUCCUCCACUGCCCUCCUGGGCCACAGCAGAGAGCUGGACUGGAAGAGGAGCAACCAGGACUAGAACCUGGUGCUCAUAUGGGAUGCUGGCACCACAGGCGGAGGAUUAACCAGUGAGCCAUGGCCCCAGCCCCAGUGCUACUCUUCUUAAAAUAACUAUGCUAGCUUGUUUAUCCUGUAUCAUUUUCUUGUCUAUUUGUGUUACAGUAGUGUUUUGUUUAAAUGUUCCUUUUACAACUAUCCAAUUAUUCAGGUAUUUGUAUGAAAAUGCAGAAAUCAAGUUACCUUAUAGGUGAGCAAUUUUAUAGGAGAAGAAUGACAGAAUAAUUAUUUAUCACAACAUUUAAUUAUGUAUUCUAAUUGCAGUGGCAUGUUAGAAUGCUGAAGUCAAAGAUUUACUCUUUUUUCAUUGGCCCCAAUGAACAAUGAUACUAUUACAGCAAAUGUUUGAAAGCAAAUAUUGAAAGUAUGAAUAACUCAU